CAUAAUCUCUGUACCACAUUGAGGAUGCCCAUUUUUUUCUGAUUUUGGAAACUGAGCAAGGUUGAGCCUGGUUAUUCCUUCAGUGAGUGACCACCAGAGAAGAUCAGAGAUCAGGU
rnacentral:rRNA from 1 species